AAAUUCAAAAACUGACUGAUAGAUGGAACCGUUAAACAACUGGCAGCUGAGCUAGCUCACCGGAACCCCAAAAAGUGCAAAAAUCUGUGUCCAUUAAAGCUCAAACGAAGCAACAAGUAAGACACGAUUCCGUGUUACAAACGUGUAACGUGAUGGCGUGAAAUUUGGUGUAGCGAAAUCAUCAUUACCAAGACGAAACUUAACAAAACCCGUACGUACAUGCAAUGCCAAUGGUGUGAGCAACCAACGAGAGAAGUCCUCGUUCAGUCAGUUAGAAGUGUGAAAAUUAAAGGGAAAAAACUCUCCCAUGAAAGUGCGAAUCUUCGUCACCACAUCAUCCUCCAUCAGCUCAAAUAAAUCACACGAUCUCGUGAUCUAUGUGGUAAGUGGGGUUAUGUGUUAGAGUUUUCAGCUGACUCUCUACAACGCCGCAAAAACCCGGUGCCAAGACGUGAUGCUGGGCGGAAAUGCACUUUCACUGUAAUCGUUUAAGCGAAAUUUCCCACUUUUCCCCAGACCGGGAUCCCGCGCCAAGUGGUUGUCACUAGAGUGCCACCGAAAGACCGCGGCUGGAAGAAAACCGUCGUGGAAAACGAAUCCCAGUACUAAUGAGUUUCGCGUGUUCGUACGUUGACAGAGAACAGCUUUUCGCGCCCCUUUUCGUGGGUAAGGUUUUUCUUUCUCAAAUGUUAAACCAUUGAAGAAGGGAAAACGAAAUCGAAUCGAGUGACGGCGACAAAAUUGGUUCGAUCAAACUGCUCAAUCAAACGUCUCCGGAAACCCUAUAGGAGUAGGGGGGGAUGAAUUGGAUUGGUCCAACUUUUCCCGAAGGCACCUGUUUAGCGAGGGCUCAGUUACAGCAAAAGUAGCAGCAGCAGGUGGAAAAGUUACAUUGUUAGCAAACUUCCAAGUUCGAAUUCAAGCCCACUACUGUUGUGUGUUUGUUAUUUGUGCAAGAAAGAAAAUUUGAUUUUAUUGGAAUUGGAGCAAAGUUUUUGGCAAAAGCUAAACUCCUCCAAAAGCGAGAGUUUUUCGGGCAAAAGGUGAAAAAAAGUUCCAACAAGUGAAGUGGAUAAUUCUUUCAGGGAAAAUUCCGAGCAAAAACCACCCAGCAUAUUCGUUAACAAGCAGGAAAAUCUACUGCCAGGAGCAAAUUCAUCGACAGUAGCAGCUGGAACAGGUUGGGGUAAAAACUUUUCUGUUCUGGUCGGGACUUUGUUGCUUACUUUUUCCUUCUCUCCGAUGUGAUGUUGAUACACCUUCGAAUGUGAGUGAUUUUCAGAGGAAAAGCAACAGAAAGUUGUCCGGGCCCGUCAAAAAGUCAUCGAUCGACAAGGAUUUAAGGGGAAGAGGUCUGUGACCGAUGCCAGCCAUCUAACAACGUCACAAGUGAAUGAAUAUCGGAACGUUUAAGUGGAGCAACAGGAAACGAGAAGAAUUAAUUCUGUCGUGAUCAACAGAAAAAAGCAGCUAUGAAAGAUUACGCUUCCUGCAAUCUUCAUCACCGUCGUCGUGUCGACGACAAAACAACGAAAGAACACGCGUCAACCCACCAAAACCGAAAACAGCAACGCUAAGCAAUACCAAAACCGAAAUCAGGCAGCAAGCAACAGCAAUAAUAACUUGUAUUCGUUCAUCCAGUCAGUCAGUCAGUGGCAGCAUCCAAAACUUCCACAAUACACCGUCGUCAGCAGAAAAGGGGCCACCGAAUCGCAUCCAGAAUGUUAAUCAGACUUUCGUCAACGUCUUCGUCGGCGUCUUUGCAGCAAAAAUUGAGUCCGGUUUCAGUGGCAGCAGCUUUUCUCGGAAUCAACGAAAAUGCCCGGAGGAAGGUCAACAUGAGGAAGCGUUUUGACGUCGUCGUGGGAUGCCGGAAAGGGCGCGCCGGAAGUGAAACUUUGGCCCAGGGUUUUUCGUCCAGGUUGGAUGCUGACCAGCCGUAAGGUUUUCCUAGCCAGGUGCGUCUGAACUUGGUCCAGAGUUUGGCGGAAUCAAACGAAUUAAUCAUCCGGCGACUACUGGCACAGGCAGAGGGAGGCAAUUUAAUUUCCCGGGCUGUUUGUCGUGUGACAAAAAUCAACUGGACCCACCUUGGAAGGAAUCUUUUCCCCACUGAAUGAUUUAUCACUUUUUGUGGGGCUGAUGAGACAAACUUCCAACACCUGCUCGAGAGAAGGGAAAAGGUCGUAGAAAGUCGUAGGAUAGUAAAAAAAUCUCAAAACGAAAGUCUUGAUGCACCGGGUUUCAUUUCUUGACUCAGCAAAAACUGGGAAAAGGGACCAUCGAACAUUCUCCGGAGACGAGAUCGUGAUUAAAUACAUGCGACAUAGCGGAACAACAACAGAAGGUAAACAGAAAUAGGCCGUCAUAAAAAUCUAAUCAACAAAGCUUCUCCCUAGAGGGUCGGCCCCAAGAAAACUGGUAGAAAGGAAGAAAGCCACGAAACAAAAUCAGGCCGACAGCGAAGACAACUGAACGACGACCCUAAAGAAACAAAUCAUACACUCACAGCAGCGAUUCGAGCAGGAAAGAAAAAGAAAGAAAAAACAUUGCUGGUCCGUUAGUUUUUUUUUUAUAUCUCUGGAGCCACCAGCAGAGUCAAGCACGUGUUCAAAUCUCGAAGCAAAAAUCUUGGUAGAAUAGCCAUCAUCAUUUGUGAAGACUGCAAGUUACCGCCAGUAAACGAAGAAGCGCAAUCACGAAAGCACCAGGAUCGUAAAAAAAAAGAGUGUCCAACGCAUCUCCAGGACACCAGUACCAGAAAGCAGGAGCAGAGCACAAAUUGCCACUCAUACUCGGAAGGGCUAACUCCAACCAGAAACAAUAAAACAACACAAACAACACCGACAGCCGAGAGUACACAUUUGCUAAAAAAAAAAAAAGAAACUAAACCGUUACAGCAGAAGCAACACAAGAAGAGAAAAAAUCAGUAGACCCUCCCCCAAACCAAACCAAAAUGAAUCUUAUGAACAUGGACUCGGAGAAUCGGGUGGUGCUGAACGUCGGGGGAAUUCGGCACGAAACCUACAAGGCGACGCUGAAAAAGAUUCCGGCCACCCGACUGAGCCGGCUAACCGAGGCCCUCGGCAAUUACGAUCCGGUCCUGAACGAGUACUUCUUCGACCGGCACCCGGGGGUGUUUGCCCAGGUGCUCAACUACUAUCGGACGGGCAAGCUCCAUUACCCAACCGAUGUCUGUGGACCACUGUUUGAGGAGGAGCUCUCGUUUUGGGGCUUGGACUCCAACCAGGUAGAGCCGUGCUGCUGGAUGACGUACACCCAGCAUCGCAAUACGCAGGAAACGUUGGCUGUUUUAGAUAGGCUAGAUUUAGAUACGGAAAAACCUACCGACGAAGAGGUAGCGAAAAAGUUCGGUUUCGAAGACGCUUACAAUAAGGGCAAGGUGAGCUGGUGGCAGCACGUCAAGCCGCAGAUCUGGUCCCUGUUCGAUGAACCGUACAGCUCCAACGCCGCCAAGAUCAUUGGCAUCAUAUCAGUAUUCUUCAUCUGCGUGUCGAUCAUAUCAUUCUGUCUGAAGACCCAUCCGGACAUGCGGGUGCCCUACAUCCGGAACAUCACGGUCAAGACGGCGAGCCAGAACACUUCGUGGGUGCUGGACAAGACGCAAACGAAUGCCCACGUGGCGUUCUUCUACAUCGAGUGCGUGUGCAACGCGUGGUUCACGUUCGAGAUUUUGGUGCGCUUCAUUUCGUCCCCUAGCAAACUUAGGUUCAUCACUUCGUCUGUAAAUAUCAUCGACUACAUCGCCACGCUGAGUUUCUUCAUCGAUCUGAUACUGCAGCGAUUCGCGUCGCACCUGGAGAAUGCCGACAUCCUCGAGUUCUUCUCCAUCAUCCGUAUCAUGAGAUUGUUCAAGCUGACGCGCCAUUCGUCCGGUCUCAAGAUCCUGAUCCAGACCUUCCGGGCCUCGGCCAAGGAGCUGACGCUGCUGGUGUUCUUCCUCGUGUUAGGUAUCGUGAUAUUCGCCAGUCUCGUCUACUACGCCGAACGGAUACAGAUCAAUCCGCACAACGACUUCAACAGCAUCCCGCUGGGGCUUUGGUGGGCCCUGGUCACAAUGACCACUGUUGGCUACGGCGAUAUGACGCCAAAGACCUACAUCGGGAUGUUUGUGGGAGCGUUGUGUGCGUUGGCCGGUGUGUUGACGAUUGCCCUGCCGGUGCCUGUCAUUGUGAGCAACUUCACGAUGUACUACUCGCACACGCAGGCCCGUGCCAAGUUGCCGAAGCGGCGUCGUCGUGUCUGCCCGGUCGAACUUUCGAGGCCCCCUCGGUUACCAGGCCAAGGCGGUCCGGGGCAGUGCGCCAACACCGGUUCCGGCAAGCUUCCUUCUUCCAACGCUCCGAGCACCGGAAGCAUGGACCAAACCAUCAGGCGCAUGAACGCCAACCGCAACAUCUCCAAAGAUGUCAUCCUGCCAAAGAUGGCAUGAUGGGACGACAACCUUUAGGUUAUUUCUUCGCGUGCAAAAAUCUAUGUACAAAGUUGGUUUCUGGAAUUCGUUGCUAUCGUCGAAUGCCGCCUGCAGAUCUUACCGUGCCGUUUCUUAUCAAUGAAAUGAAACCCAAACUUGAGCAGAUCUCGGGGUAUCUGGAUUCAAAAUCCCAUCAUCUUCUCUCGAUGGAAAUCGAUCGCCCCUCCCUCCGGUUUUCGUAAAAAUAAGCCGCUGAAAACAGAUGACGUUUCGAGCGAAACAAAAUCUUACAUGAAUUGCCAAUUUCGCGAAAGUGAUACUUCACCAGAUCCCAAGAAUAACGAACCGAAAAAUAAAAAGCAAAAAAAAUCACUGGAAGAACUCGCGUUUUGCCGGCGUACCUUUAAGACCCCCCAGAAGCAAACCCAGAUGCCCAAGAUAAGCGAGAGAGAGAGAGAGGGCGAAUAAAAAAACAACCCUCAAUCAUCAGGAAGGAUCUCCUCCAGUUCGAAUAAAAGGUACCGUAGGAUUUACCUAUCCAUUUUUUUUUUGCUGUGAGCCCACCGAGUAAGAUAAAAAAGACGUUAUGCUGUCAGGCACGGCAAAAGGAAACCCGCCAGCCACAUCCGAAAUGGAACGCACCCUUCUCAGCUUCUCAGUCAGUUCUUCCUCCCUUGAGAUGAUCCAAAGGCUUCUUAGAAGUUGCCUACAUUCAGGCGAAGCUGCAGCAUCCGACCAAACCGAACACAAGCAAUAACAACAGAAGCAACAGCAGCAGCAACAACAACAAUAACAACCAGAAACCAAAGACCCCGUGGGCAACGUUUGAGAGGACCUGAUAACGGUGGCACCAGCCGGAACCCUGCUGGAACUACCGGAGGAUGAACUACCGUUGGAUCUGGAGAUCAUCAGCCCUGGCAUGAUGAUGGGUACCGUUGACAUAAAUAUCCUGAACAACAACAACAACAACAGCAAUAACGGUGGUCAUAUCCUGGUGGUUUCCGGCAACGGAAGUGCCCCGCUUCAGCAACUGCCAACUGUCAACGCUGCCAACGGAAUCAGCAUCCCGGAUGUGCCGAUUGCUGCCGGAAGUGGUGGAAGUGCGAGUGCAGCAGCAGGAGGAAGUGGAAGUGGACCAGUAGCUGUCGUCACCCGAGGGUUGAGCCUGAGGAGAACUUCCCUCGGCAAGAGCAAAGAUCGGAAGCUCAAGAACAGCUAAUCGUUUGGAGGAUUCGAGAAGCGGAACAAGAAGAAACUACUCAAGGGGCCGAUUCCAGAAGACGUUUAUCUUUAAGAACUAGCUGAUAAGUGCAAAUCGACUAAUAGCAAAAACAAAAAGAUAUAAAACAGAAAAUAAAAACAAAAAUCUAAAUCCAAAUAAGAAAAUAAACCAACAUCAAACAAAAAAAGAAAAAUUCACACACAGACACACUUUUGCCUUCGCUUUUCUUUCGAAUUGAUUGUUAGCUUUUUUGAGAUAUAAAAGAACCGCGACCAAAUAAAAAUAGAAAAUUGUGGGGACGUAAAUUGUAGUGUCUUGGUCGGAGGAACAGACAGAACGAGAUCGAAAAUGUGAGAGAUAGAGAGAGAGAGAGAAAGCGAAAGUUAGUCGAAAUUGAAUCGAAACCAAAAGCAGAUAGAGGACAAGGAGCAGUUUGUUAUGAGAAAACUUUGUUUUAUAAAGUUGGUUGUCUUUUUGAUGCUGAGUGAGGCUGAUUGCGAUUGAUUUAUUUAUCGAUUCCCCAAAGUGAAUCCAUCAAAUCCGAUUAGCGAUCCUGUUGAAUGUUUUCAAUGUUGAUCAUUAAAUGCAAAAUAAAGAUGAAACAAAUUUUUCCGUUCCGCUAGUGAUUGAGUUCAUGGUUUUUCCCCCAGAAAUAGAUUUAAAUCUAAGAGUUUUAUAUGAACGUAUGAAAUCAUUCUCUAGAACCAUGAUCAACAAAACGCUUACUACCAAUUGAAAUGUGUACAGAUACAAAUCGAAAUCUUAACUAUAAAUAUAUAUACAAAACCAGAAAAAAACUAGUUCACAAAUGUACAUAUUCAAAAUAUGAUAUGGAACACUUAAUUGAUAAAACAAAAAAAAACACAACAAAACAAUUGUAUAUUUUAACAAAUGAGGCAAAACAAAAAGUGAUAACAAGUUAUUUUAAUAUAAAACGUAGCUCUUAUACCGGUCGGUUCGAAAAGAAUCAAGCCCGAAAUUGGAUUGGUGUAAAAGUUCGAAAAUUCGUCUUUUUCCUAAUUGCGUUACCUUUCUUUGAUUUUCCAAAUAAUGUUGCUAGAAUGAACGCUAAAUUAAUAAUAAUAAAAAAAAAACAAAGAAAAAUAUCUCAUAAGAUACAAUACCAAGAGAGCAGAACAAAUGGAAAACCCAAUCUUAAAACAAAAUACACAUUAUCAAAAAAUGAAAAGAAAAACUAUUUGAUGAUAAAAAAAAAUAUAAAAGAAAUACAAAGAAGCCUGUGUAAAUAAAAAUGAUAUG